ACUAAUCCAAACACCUGGAGGGUAGGGAGGAGGGAGGAGGGGGAAGAGACGGCCCCACGUGACUGGGAGCUCACAUGCAGCGUUACGCAACGUGUUACUGUAACACCUUGACUGGAGCCAGGGAGGUUAAGUAAAGCAGGACCUGCUCGGCACAAUCUGCCAAGGGCACGGGAGGGGGCGGCGGGCCAGCUGGUGGGGUGACAUCAAGUCUAAGAAGUCAUGUAUCAGCUGGUGUGUGCCACCAUAUGGGUUACAGGUGUGCUGGAGUCAGAGCAGUUCCCCAGCAGCUGCAACCCACUCCAUAAUCAAGACCUCUACAAAUACUCAGUCCUGCCACUUCCACUCUACCAGAUCGUAAUCUCUGUUCAUUUUGCCUCUCUGACUCUGGUUCCUGUCUCCUGUUCCACAUCUCACCACCCUGCUACCCUGUUCUGGACUCACCACACCACCACUCCCUUGGAUUCCCCUCCGGACCUGUUUACCCUGUCCCAACCCAGCUCACUCCAACCUCAGCCUCCACAUCUGGUUUCCUACAACUCUUCAGAGCUUCCCUGGAUCUGCACUUCAUCUCUCCCUGUGUUACAAUAAAUAUCUUGGUUCAUUCAUCCCUGUUUCCUGGUCUGAGUCUGCUCUUGGGUUCCCUUGUGCUGCUCUGCAUAACACAGCA
rnacentral:lncRNA from 1 species